GACGAACGCUGGCGGCGUGCUUAACACAUGCAAGUCGAACGGUGAAGCGAGUGCUUGCACUCGUGGAUCAGUGGCGAACGGGUGAGUAACACGUGAGUAACCUGCCCAUCACUCUGGGAUAAGCACUGGAAACGGUGUCUAAUACUGGAUACGACCAACCCUUGCAUGGGGUGUUGGUGGAAAGAUUUAUCGGUGAUGGAUGGACUCGCGGCCUAUCAGUUUGUUGGCGGGGUAAUGGCCCACCAAGGCGACGACGGGUAGCCGGCCUGAGAGGGUGACCGGCCACACUGGGACUGAGACACGGCCCAGACUCCUACGGGAGGCAGCAGUGGGGAAUAUUGCACAAUGGGCGAAAGCCUGAUGCAGCGACGCCGCGUGAGGGAUGACGGCCUUCGGGUUGUAAACCUCUUUCAGCAGGGAAGAAGCGAAAGUGACGGUACCUGCAGAAGAAGCACCGGCUAACUACGUG
rnacentral:rRNA from 1 species